AACAAACGCUGGCGGCGUGCCUAAUACAUGCAAGUCGAACGGGGAAAGCUUUCGGGUGAGUACUAGUGGCGUCCGGGUGGGUAACACGUAGGGAAUCUACCCUGGAGCGGGGGAUAACGUUCCGAAAGGAACGCUAAUACCGCGUAAGACCACGACGGCUACGGCCGACGCGGUCAAAGAUGGCCUCUAUUUAUAAGCUAUCGCUCUAGGAUGGCCCUGCGGCCCAUCAGCUAGUUGGUAGGGUAACGGCCUACCAAGGCGAAGACGGGUAGCUGGUCUGAGAGGAUGAUCAGCCACACUGGCACUGAAACACGGGCCAGACUCCUACGGGAGGCAGCAGUGGGGAAUAUUGGUCAAUGGGCGCAAGCCUGAACCAGCCACGCCGCGUGAGUGAUGAAGGCCUUCGGGUUGUAAAGCUCUGUGGGGAGGGAAGAAAACGGCCGAGAAGAAACGCUCGGUCCUUGACGGUACCUCCUUAGCAAGCACCGGCUAACUCUGUGCCAGCCGCCGCCGUAACAC
rnacentral:rRNA from 1 species